rnacentral:lncRNA from 1 species
UUGGGUUGCGUUGACAUCGGACGGUUGGAGACCAUCGGGAAUGGUUUCGAACUGAAAGGAGGGGAGACCGUCGAGGGAGUUGGGACCCCGGGCCUUGAGCAAGCGUCUGUGGUUGAACUCUGUGUUGACGAAGGUAAUAUGAAAGCCUCUGAAAUGGAGGAGCUUUGCUAGGUUUAGCAUUGGCUUGAUGUGGCCCUGAGCAGGGAAUGGAAUACAAACUGCAUGAGGCUUCUUCUCCACGGAACCCAUUUUCACACUCGCUCUCUCGCUCUCUCAAGCUUCAAUUGGCAUGCUUGGGUUCUCACCCUUUCUAUCAAUAUAUUUAAUAUUUCAAAAAACUUUUGUUGGUGGCUAUCGGAAUAAUUGAGAAAUUUUUUUGAAGAAUAUUAUGAUGGGCUCAAGUGACAAAACAAGAUAAAAGUUUUAUAGAAAGGAUAAAAAGAAACGUGGAUUGACAAAAAAAAAAAAAAAAGAGAGAGAGAAUUUAUAAGAUAUAAUCUAUCCGCGUCUAGCUUAUAAUUCUAAAUAUUGGACCUAAAAUAAAUUUUUUAUUUCGUUUUAUGUACGUCACUCGACUGAUUCAAUGUCAGCUAAAUAAUGCAGGCUGUCAAAGCUGAAGUUAUGGAAUGUGGGCCCUGUGCAGCCACAACCUCAAUUACUUCUCAUCGUACAAGUAGAAACCCAUUUCAGAAACAAGCAAGACUGCUGAAAAAACGAGCUUUGACCCAAAAUAAUGCUUUUUAAAAAAAAAUUUCAAAAAAUAAAGUGGUUUUGAAAAUAAUGUCCGAUCUAAUGCGUUUGUACCACAUAAGCCGCCACGUCAUAAAACCGUAGUUGGUGACUACGGUUUUAUUUUUCUAAAGUGUUUAGAAACCGUAGUUACCAACCACGAUUUUAACUUUUAAGUUUAAAGCCGUAGUUGGUGACUACGGUUUUAACUUUUUUUUUAAAAUGGUCAAAGCCGCAGUUGAUGACUACGGCUUUGACUUUUUUUUAAAAUGGUCAAAGCCGUAGUCACCAACUGCGGUUUUAACUUUAUAUAUAUUUAUAUAUAACUUUAAUUUUUUUAAUAAAAAUAUUAUAUUAUUUUGAUUUUAAAUAUACUUAUUUCAUUAUUUUAAAAAUUAUAAUAUACGAAAUUAAAUAAUUGAUAUUUUUAAUUUGAUAUAAAAAUAUAUUUUUGAAUUUUAUUAAAAUAAUAUGCACUAUAUUUAAUAUAAAUAUAAUUAAUUAAUUAAAAUAAAAUAUAAUAAAUUAUAUUUAUUUAAAAUAAAUAAAUUAUAAAUGCCUAUUUAGAAAAAUAAAAAAGUAAUAUAAAUUAUUAAUUAAUAUAANNNNNNNNNNNNNNNNNNNNNNNNNNNNNNNNNNNNNNNNNNNNNNNNNNNNNNNNNNNNNNNNNNNNNNNNNNNNNNNNNNNNNNNNNNNNNNNNNNNNNNNNNNNNNNNNNNNNNNNNNNNNNNNNNNNNNNNNNNNNNNNNNNNNNNNNNNNNNNNNNNNNNNNNNNNNNNNNNNNNNNNNNNNNNNNNNNNNNNNNNNNNNNNNNNNNNNNNNNNNNNNNNNNNNNNNNNNNNNNNNNNNNNNNNNNNNNNNNNNNNNNNNNNNNNNNNNNNNNNNNNNNNNNNNNNNNNNNNNNNNNNNNNNNNNNNNNNNNNNNNNNNNNNNNNNNNNNNNNNNNNNNNNNNNNNNNNNNNNNNNNNNNNNNNNNNNNNNNNNNNNNNNNNNNNNNNNNNNNNNNNNNNNNNNNNNNNNNNNNNNNNNNNNNNNNNNNNNNNNNNNNNNNNNNNNNNNNNNNNNNNNNNNNNNNNNNNNNNNNNNNNNNNNNNNNNNNNNNNNNNNNNNNNNNNNNNNNNNNNNNNNNNNNNNNNNNNNNNNNNNNNNNNNNNNNNNNNNNNNNNNNNNNNNNNNNNNNNNNNNNNNNNNNNNNNNNNNNNNNNNNNNNNNNNNNNNNNNNNNNNNNNNNNNNNNNNNNNNNNNNNNNNNNNNNNNNNNNNNNNNNNNNNNNNNNNNNNNNNNNNNNNNNNNNNNNNNNNNNNNNNNNNNNNNNNNNNNNNNNNNNNNNNNNNNNNNNNNNNNNNNNNNNNNNNNNNNNNNNNNNNNNNNNNNNNNNNNNNNNNNNNNNNNNNNNNNNNNNNNNNNNNNNNNNNNNNNNNNNNNNNNNNNNNNNNNNNNNNNNNNNNNNNNNNNNNNNNNNNNNNNNNNNNNNNNNNNNNNNNNNNNNNNNNNNNNNNNNNNNNNNNNNNNNNNNNNNNNNUAUUAAAAAAAUUAAAGUUAUAUAUAAAUAUAUAUAAAGUUAAAACCGCAGUUGGUGACUACGGCUUUGACCAUUUUAAAAAAAAGUCAAAGCCGUAGUCACCAACUACGGCUUUAAACUUAAAAGUUAAAACCGUGGUUGGUAACUACGGUUUCUAAACACUUUAGAAAAAUAAAACCGUAGUCACCAACUACGGUUUUAUGACGUGGCGGCUUAUGUGGCACAAACGCAUUAGAUCGGGCAUUAUUUUCAAAACCACUUUAUUUUUUGGAAUUUUUUUUUAAAAAGCAUUAUUUUGGGUCAAAGCUCUGAAAAAACAAUGUUAUGAAAUUGGAUGGAGCCACUGAAUUAACAAAGGUAAAAAAUCGUUUAGCGCAUUAGGAUUGGGUGAGAUCAACCUAGCUGCCCUCUUUCUCCUCUGCUUAGUGUAUUAUCUAGACCCGAUGCAGGUGGGUGUUAUUAUUAAAAACUUGAAGAUUUUACUAGGUUUUCAAUGACAAGUGACAACUAAAUAAGCUAUUAGUUAACUCUUUUAAAAUUUAUUUAUACUUACAAAAAAAAAAUGGAACCAAUAAAAAUAAAAUAAAAUAUUCAUCCUUCGUAACAUCUUACCAAAUAGAUUACCAUUGCCAUAAUAAGGUUUUUAGCACCCUCUCUCCCAUCACUUUUUUUAUAUAUUCCACACAAUUAUUGGUAUUAAAGAACUUUCAAAUACUUGAAAAGUCUAAUAAGGUAUAGAUGACAUGGUUAUAGAAUGAUUUAGAAUUUUUAAAUUAAAUAAAUUUAUUGUGAUAAAUAAAAAAUCUAAUGGUAACCAAAUUCAACAUUUCAAGAACUUUUAAAAGGAAUGAAAAAAAAAAAGAAAAAAAAGUACAUCAUUUAGUGAGGACUUCAAAGUAUCUUAGCUUAUAGAGAAACUUACUUCUUGGUCCUAUUUUGCUCAUUCUCUUAGAGAUAAGCAAAGAGAUUUAAAUUUGAUCAAAGAAAUUAAUUUUUUGAGAAUUGAAGAAAAUCAUAGGUCAAAUAUUAAGUAACCAAAUGAAAUGAUGUCCAAGGUGAUGGACCUAAUAGAGACUUCUAAUUAACAUAUCAAAUUCUAAAAAUAAAUUAUUGAAUAAAAUUUUUAUAUUAUUUUUAAAAAAUAAAAUUUUGUUAAUUAAACAACUUAUUAAUAAACAUAAUGUGUAUAUUGAGUUCAGAUUCUACAAACUUAAACUUUUAAGAUAGUUGGUAAUUAAUUCAAUAUAGUAUCAGAACUUAGUUUGUUGGAAGAUUAUGCACAAGCCGGGGAGUGUUAAUAAGUAAGUCAUAAUUCUAUUAACACAAGAUAAUUAAUUAAUUAAUUAAAAGAUGAUAUAUUUAGCAUUAUCAUUAAUGAACAUGGAUGAAAAUAGAUUAAAUUUGUUGAAAGCACAUGGUUGGGCUUGGAACUAGUGGAACUGACACGAUGGCAACAUGUACCUAGAAUUGGCACCUCUUUUAAUCAUAUCUGUAGAUAUUUUAUUUCAUAGUCUCUUUUUAUAAAAUAAUAAUAAUAAUAAAUAAAUAAUCACGUUGCUGAAAGCUUGACACCAACAUCAUCAAUUGGUUGGGCCUGGAAAGAGGAACGCCAGUGGACCGAUGUUGAUUAGUGGCCCAUCACCAUUCAUUGCCCAACUAAUACUGCCGUUACUACCGAGUACCGACAAUGACCAAAGAUGAAUAAACGUACACGUACAUUUUGAAGUAAACGUUGACCUAUUUUAUUUUAUUUAUUAAAAAAAUUAUUUUAAAUUUUCAUAUUUUUGGUUAUAAUAAUUUUACUAAUAGUGGUAUCAUGCAAAAAUAUGCCUGAAAAAGUUGAAAAGGAUUCGUUUGACCUUAAAAAAUUAAAAACAAAGAAUAAAAUUAAGAAAGUUAAAUAAAAAUAUAGAAGUGAAAAAAAAAAAAAAGGAAUUUUAGUUUAUAUAUUUGUAUUUAUUUUACUCUAAUAAAAGGCUUGAUUAUUCUUUGAAAAAAUUGAAAUCAAUAUGACAAUGGAUUGGCAUCAAUAUUUUAAUUCGAAGAAGAUAAUACAAAGAUUUUCAAAUCCACCAAGUGAAAAAGCAAAAUCGUGAGAUCAAAACCAUAUCAACUCUCAUUAAAAGAAACGAGAGAGGGAGCUACCUUUGUAUUUUAAAUUUAAAUUUAAUAAUAAUUAUUGAUUUAUUCUUAUUAUAAUCAAGAUAUUUUCGGAUAUUUUAUAUAAAUAUUAUGUAUUUUUAAUCUUUAAUCUCUAUCAUAGUGUGGACCCCGCAUUUCGGCUCAUGCGCUUUCAAUCGCGAGCUCGAUUUUUAUUUGAAAAAAAUGAUUUAAUUGGUUGAAAAAAUUAACUUGGAGUCGCCACUUAUUUUUGUUUUAUUUUUUAAGGGUAAACAAAAUAAGAAAGAAAACUCUAAGUGUAACUCCUUAUUUAGAAAAUGUGAUCUGCGAAAAAACUGGAUCGGGUUCGGGGGUCAGGUUACUUAUCGGGAAGGUACGGUAAAAACCGUAGCACCUCUCUAAGUCCUUAAAAACGGGUCUCUACUAAUAAAAUGGAGCAAUCAUGACAAUUGAUUAAUCAAACAUGGAUACUAAUGAAUAUCACUCAAAACAAAAUAAUUGAAUGAUUAAGAGAGGUAAAUAAUGUACUUGAGUGAUGAACCGGUUUACUUCAUGGGAAACAAAUGUUAGCAAAUAAACACAGAAUAGUCGCAUGCAUGUAUUAGAGUAGAAUAAAUCAAUCAUGUAUAACAAUCAAGUCAACCAAUCAAUCAGUCAAUCAUAAAAAUCACGUAUGUGGGGCCCCCACCAAAGCCCGCUCUAACUUGCACUAAUUAGCCUCACAAAUUCCAUUAUUCUGAAAUUAUGAAAAUUGCAUUCAUGUUUAUGUAAAGUCAAGAAGAACAAAAGAUUAUUUGAAACCCGAAUGGAAUUGAAAAACAGUUAGAGAGAAAAAUGGAUUUUUGAAAUUUAUUUUAAAAUUGGAGUCUUGGGAAUUAAAUUUAAUAAUUGAAAAUUUGGAAAUUAAAUUUGAAAGAAAUUGAAAUUUUAAAAGUUAUUUGAGAGUUUGGAAUUUUUAAAAAUUAAAUUUAAGAAAUGGAGUUUUAAAAAUUAAUUUUUGAAAGAAAUUGGAGUCUUGGAAAUUGAAUUUAAGAAUGAGAAUUUUGGAAGUUAUUUAAAUGUUGAAUUUUUAAAAAUAAACAAAUAAAUAGGUGAGUAAAAUGAUAAUGAUUAAAUAAAUUGAUAUGAAAAUUGAAAUUUCGGAAAUUGGAAUUUAGAUUUAAAAAUCGGAAUUUUGAAAAUUUAUUUUAAAAAAGUGAAUUUCAAAAAAUAAGUAAGUAGAUAAAUAAACGAAGUAAUAAUGAUGAAAAUAAUAAUGAUUAAAUAAAUAAACGUGAAGAUUGGAAAUUUUGAAAUGAGAAAUUAAAUUUGGAAACCGAGAUUUUCAAGAAUUUGUUAAUAGAUAAAAUUUUAAAAAUAAUCAAUUAAAUAAAUAAAAAAAGUAAUAAUAAUAACGAAAAAUUAUAAUUAAAUAAAUUAACAUGAAUAGUUGAAUUUUUCUUUUUCUUUUUUAAGUUGGAAAUUAAAUUCGAAAAAAACUAAAUUUUGAAGGAAAUUAUUUUUGGCAUGGAAUUUUUAUAUAUAUGCAUAAUAUAUAUAUAUAUAUAUACUUGGGAGGAUGACACGUAGGGUGCCAAUCAUAGGACUUUUCUCAAUAGUCCAGUAAUUUAAAAAAGUUAUGCUUAAAUUAUUGUAGUAGAAGAAGUUAUUAUAAAUAUAUGGUAGUUUUUGCCACAUAGAAGAGAGGAGAGAGGGUGAGAGAGGAGAGAGGAGAUAGUAGAGAGGGUGAACGGAUAAAUUUUUUUAAAAAAGGGAACUCGUCUUUUGAAGAGACGAGUUCCAUGAAAUAUAUAUAUAUAUAUAUAUAUAUAUAUAUAUAUAUUUUAAAAAAAAUUCUUAUUUACUCAAGGGAACUCGUCUCUUCAAGAGACGAGUUCCAUGAAAAAAGACAAGGGAAAGACGAGUUCCCAGGGAAAAAAAAAAAAUAUUUUUUUAAAUAUAUUUUUUAUUUAAAAAAAUCCUAAAUUAAAUUAAAAAAAAAUUUCCUAAAGGGAACUCGUCUGUUUGGGAAAUUUUUUUUUUUAAAUAUAUUUUUUAUUUAAAAAAAAUCCCAAAUUAAAAAAAAAAAAAUUCCAAAUUCCUAAAGAGAACUCGUCUCUUCAAGAGACGAGUUCCCAUGUAAAAAAAAAAAUAUUUUUUAAAAAUAUAUAUAUUUAAAAAAAAAAAUUCUUAAAGGGAACUCGUCACUUGAAGAGUCAAGAGACUAGUUCCAUGGGAAAAAAAAUAUUUUUUGUUUAAAAAAAAUCCCAAAAAAAAAAAAAUCCUAAAGGGAACUCGUCUCUUCAAGAGACGAGUUCCCAUAGGAAAUUUUUUUUUUUUAAAAUAUAUUUUUUAUUUAAAAAAAAUUUCAAAUUAAAAAAAAAAAAUCGAAGAGAUGAGUUCCCAUGGGAAAAAAAAUAUUUUUUAAAAAAUAUAUUUUUUAUUUAAAAAAAUCCCAAAUUAAAAAAAAAAAAAAAAAAACAAUUCCUCAAAAUUCCUAAAGGGAACUUGUCUCUUGAAGAGACGAGUUNNNNNNNNNNNNNNNNNNNNNNNNNNNNNNNNNNNNNNNNNNNNNNNNNNNNNNNNNNNNNNNNNNNNNNNNNNNNNNNNNNNNNNNNNNNNNNNNNNNNAAUUCCUAAAGGGAACUUGUCUCUAGAAGAGACGAGUUCCCAUUUAAAAAAAAAUAUUUUUUUUCCCAUGGGAACUCAUCUCUUCAAGAGACAAGUUCCCUUUAGGAAUUUUUUUUUUUUUUAAAAUAUAUAUAUUUUUAAAAUAAAUAUUUUUUUUACAUGGGAACUCGUCUCUUCUUGAGGAAUUGUUUUUUUUUUUUUUAAUAAAUAUAUUUUAAAAAUAUAUAUAUAUAUUUUUACAUGGGAACUCGUCUCGAGACGAGUUCCCUUUGGAAUUGUUGUUUUUUUUUUUUUUUUUUUACAUGGGAACUCGUCUCUUGAAGAGACGAGUUCCUUUGAGGAAUUGUUUUUUUUUUUUUUUUUUUAUAAUAUAUAUAUAUAUUUUUUUUAAAAAUAUUUUCCCUUUAGGAAUUUUUUUUUCUUUUUUUUAAUUUGGAAUUUUUUUUAAAUAAAAAAUAUAUUUAAAAAAAAAAUAUUUUUUUUCCCAUGGGAACUCAUCUCUUGAGUUCCCUUUAGGAAUUUUUUUUUUUUAAAUAUAUAUAUUUUUAAAAAAUAUAUAUAUUUUUUUACAUGGGAACUCGUCUCUUGAAGAGACGAGUUCCCUUUAGGAAUUUUGAGGAAUUGUUUUUUUUUUAAUAUAUAUAUUUAAUUAGGAAAUUUUUUUUUAAAAUAUAUAUACUUUUAAAAAAAUAUAUAUUUUUUUAUAUGAGAACUCGUCUUUUUUUUUUUUUUUUUUUUUUUAAUAUAAAAAAUUUUUUUUUUAAAAAAAAAAUUUUUACAUGGGAACUCGUCUCUUGAAGAGACGAGUUCCCUUUGGAAAUGUUUUUUUUUUUUUUUUUUUUUUUUUAAAUGAAAAAAUGAUUUUAAAAAAGGAAUGGUUAUUUAAAAAAAGAUCUAUUUUUUUUCCCAANNNNNNNNNNNNNNNNNNNNNNNNNNNNNNNNNNNNNNNNNNNNNNNNNNNNNNNNNNNNNNNNNNNNNNNNNNNNNNNNNNNNNNNNNNNNNNNNNNNNUUUUUUUUUUUUUUUUUUUUUUUUAAAUAAAAAAAUAUAUUUAAAAAAUAUAUAUAUAUUUAAAAAAAUAUAUAUUCUUUUUCCCAAAGGGAACUCGUCUCUUCAAGAGACGAGUUCCCUUUAGGAAUUUUUUUUUCUUUUUUAUAAUUUGGGAUUUUUUUUAAAUAAAAAAUAUAUUUAAAAAAAAAUAUUUUUUUUUCCCAUGGGAACUCGUCUGAAGUAGGAUUUUUUUUUUUUAAAUAUAUAUAUUUUUUAAAAAUAUAUAUUUUUUUUUUACAUGGGAACUCGUCUCUUGAAGAGACGAGUUCCCUUUAGGAUUUUUUUUUUUUUUUUUUUAAUUUGCGAUUUUUUUUAAAUAAAAAAUAUAUUUUAAAAAAAAUAUUUUUUUUCCCCAUGGGAACUCAUCUCUUGAAGAGACGAGUUCCCUUUAGGAAAAUUUUUUUUUUAUGGGAUUUUUUUUAAAUAAAAAAUAUAUUUAAAAAAAAAAAUUCCCAUGGGAACUCGUCUCUUCAAGAGACGAGUUCCCUUUAGUUCCAAAUUGUUUUUUUUUUUUUUUUUUUUCUAAUUUGUGAAUUUUUUAAAAAUAUAUAUAUUUUUUUUAAUGGGAACUUGUCUCUUGAAGAGACGAGUUUCCUUGAAGAAUUGUCUUUUUUUUUUUUUUUAAUUUGAGAAUUUUUAAAAAAAUAUAUAUAUAUUUUUUUUCAUGGAACUCGUCUCUUCAAGAGACGAGUUCCCUUAAGUAAAUGGAGAAUUUUCUUAAAAAAAAAUAUAUAUUUUUUUUCAUGGAACUCGUCUCUUGAAGAGACGAGUUCCCUUUUUUAAAAAAAUUUAUCCGUUCACCCUCUCUCCUCUCUCCUAUGUGGCAAAAACUACCAUAUAUUUGUAAUAAAUUCUUCUACUACAAUAGUUUAAGCAUAACUUUUUUAAAUUACUGUACUAUUGAAAAAACUCCGCCAAUCAUAGCCCAAACAUGCCAACCUAUGCUUUAUGUAUGCCAUCAAAUGCAAAUCAUGCAGGUGGGACCCAUUCCAAAAUUCAUUUCUCCAUAAAGUUCUCUGCCAACAUCUUUUCAAGCACCAACAUUGUUUCAUCAAACUUCCCAACCACUACUGGCAUAAUAAAGAGCCCCAUCUGCAGUCACUACCGGCACUUAGAAACGGGAAAAAGUGCAAACCUGAACAUAUAAUGUGGCUCGUCCACCUCCAAAGACUCGACACAAAUGUCCAUUUCCGACAUUACUCCAUCAUCAUCACGAAAUAGAGCCAUAUACAUGGGAAAAGAAAUAAAAAGAAAUAAAUAAAUAAAAUAAAAAAACGCGAAAAGAAACAAAGCAUGAACCUAGCUAUGUAUCAUGGGCAUUCAAAAUGCUAGGAACAAAUGGAAUCCAAAGGAAAUAAGAGCGUGAUUUCGAUACAUUAAGUUUAGAAAAGAACAAAGCAUAAGAUAUUUACAAGAGAUCAAAACAUCCAAAGAUAAGACCUAAAACAAAGCAUGCUUAUAAAGAGCAGAUCUAACUAAGCAAAUAAGCAGGUGUCACACCCUUGAAAAUCACCUUAGAUUUGUCACCUGGUGCGCGGUACUAAGGACCCUUCCUUAGCCAACCUUUCUUCCCAGCCUUCUCAAACGCACACAAACAAUAGCAAACCAAAGAAAACAGGGACACAACGAGAUUAAAGGAAAUUCUUCCCAACUUGUAUUAAUCUCAAUUGCAAGAUACAAAAUUGUUUCCCUGAGUCGGAGGGCAAUGCUUACAUCCCAAGCAUUCAGAGAUACUUUCCAUUUUCUCUCUCCUCUCUCUCUCAAGGCUGCAGGAGCCCUUUUAAAAGACUCACCCUACAGUUUUUCCCUUAGUGGUUAUGCAACCGCCCAUAACCCCCCCUGAAGUGCUUGCACAACCACCUACUACCCAGAUGGUGGUCUCUCUAAAAACUGCCACGUGGCUUUCUCUCUCUUGGACACGCAGACGUCCCCCUUUCGACGCGUGGCAUCACUCAUUCCACCCGGAUAUCUCAUAUCCGGAAUUCUGUCCGGCCGACGUUCCAUCUUCUCCGGAUGUAUCACAUCCUGAAUUCUGUCCGUCGACAUUCUCCCUUAUCCGGAUAUCUCACAUCCGGAAUCCUGUCCGGCCGAAGUUCCAACUUCUCCUGGUAUCUCACAGCCGCCAUUCUGUUUGGCUGAAGUUUCAACUUCUCCGGAUGUCUCACAGCCGCCAUUCUAUUUAGCCAAAGUUCCAACUUUUCCGGAUGUCUCACAGCCGCCAUUCUGUUCGACCGACGUUCCGCCUUCUCCGGAUGUCUCACAUCCGGCGCCUGUCCGGCGUCGCCGUUCCGCCUAGGCUCUCAUGGGUGCAAGGCCUACCCAUGAGGCCUAUUCCUCCGGGUCUGAAUCAAGUGGCUAAGGGGUUGACAAUCCACCCCCGCCUGCUGAAGUCGACGUCCUCGUCGACUUAGACUGCCAGUAUGCCUGGACCUCCUUCUCAAAUUGCCAUAAAGUAGCAUCUCUUUCCCAUGAAGCUUCGAUUUCUGAAAUCCCCUUCCACUGAACCAAAAAAUCAGUUCGCCGGUUCUUUAUGUUGUGUCCCAUGGUCCUAUGAUCCAAGAUCUUCUCUAUCUCCCGAUCAAAUUGUUUCAUGACCAAGGGAGGGGCUCGCUUUGUUUGCACCAUCUCUGCAUCCAGAUCCUCAUGGUAAGGCUUCAGAAAGCUUACAUGGAAAGUCGGGUGAAGCUUAAGCCUCUCAAGCAGCUUCAACAUGUAUGCCACCUGCCCAACCCGCUUUAUUACUUCGAAUAGCCCGUCAUACUUUGGAAUUAGACCCCUCUGCCUUGUCUUGCUGCUGAUCCUCUUCCAGAUCUGAGGAGUCAAUUUCAGGAUGACCCUGUCCCCAACCUAAAAUUCUAAGGGUCUACGGUCACGAUCUGCAUACUUCUUCAUAAGUCUAGCUGCAUUUUCUAGACUGUCCCGUGCUUCAUCGAACAUCUCCUACUGGGACUGAGCCAACUUGUAUGCUGCAGGACUACUUUCUCCUGUUUUCUUCUUAGCCACCUCCAAAGGCAUCCGUGGCUACACCCCAAUAGCUAGCUCAAAAGGACUCAUCCUUAUCGCUUAGCUUCUUUGCAAGUUGUAACACAACUGUGCAGUGUCCAUCAAGUCCACCCAAUUCUUCUGUGUUGUCGUCACAUAGUGCCUGAGGUAUUCCUCCAGCAAGGCAUUGAUCCUCUCUGUCUGCCCAUCAGUCUGAGGAUGGUUAGCUGUGGAGAAUUUCAACUCUGAACCCAAGAGUUUGAACAGCUCAACCCAAAACUUGCCUAUAAAUCUUGUAUCCCGAUCACUGACUAUGUCCCGUGGCAACCCAAAGUGCUUGACAACGUUGCUAAAGAACAGCCUAGCCGCUUCCUCCGCAGGGCAAGCAUCAGGUGCAGGUAUAAACACAACAUACUUAGAAAAUCUAUCUACCACAACAAAGACAAAUUUGAAAUCACGAACCUUUGGGAACCCAGUGAUAAAAUCCAUGGAGAUGUUCUCCCAAGGUCUUUUUGGAAUGGGGAGGGGCUACAGCAACCCUGCAGCCUUCUUCCUUUCAGUCUUGUCCAUCUGACAAACCAAGCAGGACUUCACAUAGGCCUGCACGUCCUUCACCCAUCUUAAGCCAGUAAUAGGAUCUGGCUAAUAAGGCCAGAGUCCUUUCCUCUCCGGGAUGGCCUGCCCAUUUCGAAUCAUGAGUUUCUUGCAACAAAUCCUUUCUCAGGCCACCUGCAGGAACAUACCAUCUUUCCCCUUUUGCCACAAGGAGGUCACCCUUUAGCCAAUACUUCCUGAUCACUCCCUCCUUUACUUGCUGCUUCAACUUGCCAUAUGCAGCAUCCUACUCUGCAACUAGCUUGAUCUUCUCAUUGAAGUCAGAGAUGACUUCAUAGAGGGUCGUAAUGUAGGCAAUUACCUCCUUCCUACUCAAGGCAUUAGCCACAGUGUUAUGUCUUCUUGGUCGAUGCAGCCACUCGAAUCUGAAGUCGGCUAGGAACUCCUGUCAUCGUGCUUGUCUGGGACUCAGCUUUUUCUGGGUCUUGAAGAAGGUGUUGGCCACAUUAUCCGUGACCACUGUGAAGAUACUUCCCAGCAAGUAAUGCCUCCACUGCUGCAGGCAAUGCACCACAGCCGUCAUCUCCUUCUCGUGAGUGGAGUACCUCUGUUCUGCAUUAUUCAGUUUCCUGCUUUCAAACGCCACAGGGUGCCCUUCCUGCACCAAGACUCCACCCAAGGCUCUAUCAGAGGAUUUGUUUGGACUUCAAAGGGUAAGUCCAAGUCUGGAAACCGCAGCACAGGCUCCGUGGAGGUGGCUUCCUUCAAGCCUUCAAAGGUCAUCUGACACUGCCGGUUCCAGUCCCAUGAGUUCUCCUUUUUCAAUAGGUCAGUAAGGGGAGACACCAUCUUUGAAUACCCCUUAAUGAACCUUCUAUAGUAGUUGGCCAAGCCAAGGAAGGACCGCAACUCAGUCACUUUGGUAGGGACCGACCAUUCCAUAAUAGCCUGCACCUUGCCUUUGUCUAUCCUGAACAGUCCUGCACUGAUCUUAUGUCCUAGAAAUGUGAUCUCCUCAUGAGCAAACUCACAUUUAUCUGGUUUCACAUAAAGCCUAUUCUCCCUCAAUCUCUGAAACACCAAUCUCAAGUGUUUCUCAUGUUCUGUUAGAGUUUUCCUGUAAACUACAAUGUCAUCUAGAUACACCACCACAAAGGCAUCCAAAUAAUCAAACAGAACAUCAUUCAUUAAAUUUCAGAAUGUAGCAGGAGCAUUUGUCAACCCAAAAGGCAUUACAAGAGACUCGUAUGAGCCAUACCGAGUUACACAAGUCGUUUUCCCCUCAUCUCCUACUGCAAUCCGCACUUGCCAAUAACCUGAUCUCAGGUCCAACUUGGUAAAGUAAGAAGCUUUUGACAAUCUGUCAAAUAGUUCAGCAGCCAAGGGGAUCGGGUACUUGUUCUUGAUGGUCACCUUGUUGAGGGCUCUGUAGUCCACACACAUGCGGAGUGAGCCAUCCUGCUUCUUUUGAAACAGCACUGGUGCACCAUAUGAGGCCUUGGAGGGCUGGAUCAAACCUGCAUCCAGCAACUCCUUCAGUUGCUUACGUAACUCCAGCAACUCUAUAGGAGGCAUCCGGUAAGGGGCUCGAGCCGGGGCCUUUGUUCCAGGUAGCAGCUUGAUUUUGUGGUCAAUGGGUCGCCGAGGUGGCAACUCCUUGGGGAGUUCUGCAGGCAUCACAUCUUUGAACUCUUUAAGGAUCUUAACCACUAAGUCAGGGACUUCCACAGACUGUCCCUCAUUGAUCUCGAUCAAGGCUGCAAUAUAGGUCUCCUGGCCCUUCUUCAAUCCUUUCUUCAAUUGAAUAGCAGACAACAUCUCAGGCUGUCCCUUACCACCAUCCUUUGUCCUUAAGGCCUUUACGAAGCAAGACUGCUUCUCUUCUAACACCACCAGUCCACCAAGAUGUAGAAUCAGGGCUACCUUGGCCCUUAAGAGAAAGUCUACACCAAGGAUCAAGUCAAAGUCAUCCAAAGGUACACAAAGUAAACUACACGUACCCUUCCAGUCACCGAUUUGCAUAGGGACAUUCUUGGCUACCCCAUGAAUCUUCUGGGCUUGGCUAUUGACUGCCUUGAUCUGACUGGUAUCCUCCUUCAAUUUAAGUCCCAACCUGGUUGCUUCUCUAGUGGCCACGAAAUUGUGAGUGGCACCACUGUCCACCAAGGCCUUCACUUGCACACCAUUCACCACUGCAUGGACGUGCAUUAGAGACUUCUGAACUGGAGUCUCACCAAGAAUCACGUUCAGAAGUUUCAGGGGGUUGACUCUGGGAGGAGUCUUUGGGUCAGAGUCUCCCUUGUCAUCUGCAGUCACCAGGGCUGAGAGUUUCUCUAUUUUGGGGUAGUCUUUGGCUCGAUGUGGGCCGUUGCAGAUGAAGCAUCCCAUCAUUCGAGUGGUCUGCUGCACAACCUUUGUGGUUUUCUCCACUGGUUUUUCUCCUACAGCAGGCUUUUUGUUCUGCUUCUUCCACCCAGACUCCUUAGUCUUGCCCUCAUUCUUAGCCUUCUUGCCUCCUUCUGACAUGGGUCUCUACGUGGUGGAGACGACUCCGCCCAUCUUGUAGUCCACCAAGCAGUCUGCUGCAACCAUGGUAGUAGGGAGAUCACGAAUCCCUUGUCUCCUGAGUUCCGUCUGAGCCCAUCCUUGCAACCCAGACAUGAAAUUGAACAGCUUGUCCUCCUCGGACAUGUUCUUAAUGUCCAACAUCAAGGAACUGAACUCCUUGACAUAUUCUCUCACAGACCCAGUGUGUCUGAGCCUUUUUAGUGUCUCUUUGGCCACCCAAGCCGUGUUGGUGGGAAGGAAUUGAUCCUUCAAUUCCUUCUUUAGAGUCUCCCAAGUGGUGAUUUGGGGCCUUCCAGACUCUGCAUCGUCCUCCACCCUGGUUCGCCACCAUAGUUUGGCAUCACCAGUUAAAUACAUACUGGUGAUGGAAACCUUCUCGCCAUCAGGAACAUGAGCAGCCUUAAAGAACUGCUCGAUGUCCCACAAGAAGUUCUCCAGUUCCUUCGCAUUUCUAUUGUCAUUGAAGCCCUUAGGCUCAGGGACUCGAACCUUAGAAGAAGAGGCUUCAGGGCCUGAGGCAAAUCCCUGCAACACCGCCUUCUUAAGGAUGGCGAUGUCUUUUCCAUAGGACUGCAGGGUCUCCUUGAAGUCAUCAAUCCGGGACUGCAUCUCGGUUUUAAACUCAGCCAAUUUCUCCUCAAAGAAAUUGUCAUGGGACUCCAACAUACUCCUCUGAGCUUGGACUUCUCUCAUGGUGUGCUCUGCCCACGAAGCCACUGUGCCAUCCUCACUUGGCCAUUCUCCCAGCGCCUCUUCUAUUCGAGUCAUCCUCUCCCGUAAGGCCUCCAUUGCACUACCACCAGCCAUCUUUGGUGCUUGCUCUGAUACCAAUUGUCACACCCUCGAAAAUCACCUUAGAUUUUUCACCUGGUGCGCAGUACUAAGGACCCUUCCGUAGCCAACCUUUCUUCCCAGCCUUCUCAAACGCACACAAACAAUAGCAAACCAAAGAAAACAGGGACACAACGAGAUUACAGGAAAUCCUUCCUAACUUGUAUUAAUCUCAACUACAAGAUACAAAAUUGUUUCCCUGAGUCGGAGGACAAUGCUUACAUCCCAAGCAUUCAGAGAUACUUUCCAUUUUCUCUCUCCUCUCUCUUUCAAGGCUGCAGGAGCCCUUUUAAAAGACUCACCCUGCAGUUUUUCCCUUGGUGGUUAUGCAACCGCCCAUAAGCCCCCCUGAAGCACUUGCACAACCACCCACUACCCAGAUGGUGGUCUUUUUAAAAACUGCCACGUGGCUUUCUCUCUCUUAGACACGCAGACGUCCCCCUUUCGACGCGUGGCAUCACUCAUUCCACCCGAAUAUCUCAUAUCCGGAAUUCUGUUCGGCCGACGUUCCAUCUUCUCCGGAUGUAUCACAUCCGGAAUUCUGUCCGUCGACAUUCCCCCUUAUCCGGAUAUCUCACAUCCGGAAUCCUGUCCAACCGAAGUUCCAACUUCUCCGGGUAUCUCACAGCCGCCAUUCUGUCCGGCCGAAGUUCCAACUUCUCCGGAUGUCUCACAGCCGCCUUUUCCGGAUGUCUCACAUCCGGCGCCUGUCCGGUGCCGCCGUUCCACCUAGGCUCUCAUGGGUGCAAGGCCUACCCAUGAGGCCUAUUCCUCCGGGUCUGAAUCAAGUGGCUAAGGGGCUAACAGCAGGCCAGUAGUCAUACCUGGAAUGAUCUCCUCAAGCCUGGAGUUUCUAGGAUACCCGCUUGGCUUCCCUUUCUUUUUCAGCUAGAAAAUACUCCAUGCUGCUCGUUUUUUUUUUUUUUUUUGUCCGAAAAUCCUAUCUUUUCCUUUCUUUAGCUACUCUCUCUUCCUCCCCCGCUGCUCCCGUUUUUUUUCCUUUUUUUACCAUUUCUCCAACUCUGCCCAAAAACCAGUCUCUACUCUGUCCUCUUCUUGCUGCCCAAACAGCCUCACCUCAAUCUUCCUUUUCCCGCUGCUUCCCAUCAUCUCAAUCCCCUCCAAUCUCAACCACUCUCCUAAAAAAAAAAUAUCCAUACUUUUCUCCUUGGGGUCCCUAGCUAACCGGGGGGUCUACACAUAGAUUACAUAUUCAAAAAUAUUUCGUUUAUAUUUAAUAUUUUAGUGAUCUUCUCAAAAAAUAUUUUUUUCCAUAUCAAUCUAAAGAUGUUAUUCCUUUUUAAAUGAUAGAAAAAAUAUGAAUAUAAAAGAUUUAUAAAGUAAUGGGAUAAGUAAAUAAAAAAGAUUUAGAUGAUUUAUGGUAUAAAUAACAUUAAUAUAUUUCCUGUGGGACCCUCUCUGCAAGGCUGUCCCGAAGUCCUUCAUGUUCACCGCCGUUUGGGAACGUAUGCCAUCUAGGAAGACACUUUCAGUCAUCUAGCCCAACGGCCCGAAGGUUGUGUGAUUGGUUCGUCCCAAAGUAGGGUUAAACAGACAAUUCUUGCGUAGAUAUAGCAAGAUCAGCGUCGACUGUUCUAUAUGCAUUGACUAAAAAUGAAAGGGAAUGGGAAAUGUUGGGGGGCAACAGUCACCGUAGUGAAAGAUGGUGUGGUGAAGAGAAAAUGAAAGAAAUAAGAAGAGAAAGAAAAAAUAUAUAAAAAAAAAAUGAAGAAGAGAUAAGUGUUGAUAGCAAAAUUCCCCCACUACAGUAGCAGUUACCAGCAACAGAAUCUCAAUUAACUCAUUACAGCGAUUCUUCCUUCCUCCUGCAAAAAAGAUGUCCAGAUGGGUUGUCCGGACACAUCCUCCGAUGAUUAAGUUAGUCUUUUGGAAGUUAUUUGAAAAAAGAUUCUUUCUUUGGGAGUAUUGCUCCAUGCUUUUUUUUCAAGGAUGCUUACCCCCUCCUUCUCUUUGUGAGAGUCUCCUUAGAGUUUAUAUAUGAGUCAGAGAGUAUGGUCUCGCUGUGCUAAUGGGUCCCAUAGUCAUGAUUGCGACUCAUAGGGUGGUGAAGCAAUCAUGACCCUUCUGGUGCGAGGUGAUGGCUGUCAGAAGGGUAUUUAGGCGGCGGUUGUCACCUCAAUUUAUGAUUUUCGGUACCGAGAAUGCGUCAGACAAUCUGAAAAGAUUUGGGAAUGUCUUGUCAAGCGUAUCUUGUAUUGAAGAUGAGUGAUAGUUCAGGAGACUUGGUCGACAGUGUUGUCGAAGUUUGCUUCUUGAUUGUGGGCAUAAAUGAAUCCGACAAAUCGCGAGUGUCUGACGAGUCAAGUUGUCCAGGUAAUCUGAAUCGUCGGUUGCGGAUGUACUCCAGGUAAGUGUCGCCAGCGGAUCCGGACAUGUCUGACCGGGGAAGUUGAAUCACACUUCUCUUCCAUCCGAUGGCAGGCGCCGGCUGUGAAAUAUCCGGAGAAGGUGAAACGUCGGCCGUACAGAAUUCCCCCCCUCGAGUGGAAUGAGCGAUGCCACAUGCCGCAAGGGGGGUCGUCUGCAUGGCCAAGGAAGAGGGAGCCACCUGGCACCUUUUAAGGAGGAUCCCACAAUAAGGAGCGUGUGACAAUGAGGAGUUUGGAAGUGUGGGUUAGUGAGUAGAGGAAGAAAGAAGGAAGAAAAAUGAAGAAACAAAGAGAAAAAAUGGGGAGGGGGGGUGCGGGGGGUAAAGAAGAUGAGAGAUGAGAGUGAGGGUGUGGAUACGUGGGAAGGGGAAGUAUGGCAUAAGAGAAAAGUAAAAGAAAAUAAAAUAAUAAUAAAAAUUAAGAUUUAAAUGGUAUAAGUAUAUCAAAACAUUCAAAUGUAAUUAGAUUUGGAUUUUAAAAAUAAAAUUAGACUUCAAAUUAAUGUAAAAAUAAUUUUGAACAAAUUUUAAGAUCUACACAUUUAUUAAAAUUUUAUAUAAUGAAAUAGUCUAUUAUUGUAAGAAGAUAUAUUUAUUUAUUAUUUUAUUAUUCUUAAAAUAUAGAUUUUGAUUGUUAUACGAUAUAUAAGCAAUGCCAAAGUACCCUUUUUAUAUAUUAAAAUUCUAUUUAUUAUGAAAAAUAUUAGAUAAAUCUUGAAUCUUAUUCAAGAUAUAUAUAAAAUUUUGUACUUGAAAAUUUUAUUAGAUUUCAGACUAUAGGAAAUGACAAAAGUUACAUAAUGCAAAGCGACGGAUGUUUUACUCGUUUUUAUGAGACAAUGGGGUGGCAAACAUCAUUAGUGUGUACAUAAAACCCAUGGAGAUAUUGAAAAAAUAAAAAUGAUAAAGAUCAAGUGGCAUAAUUAGUAUAUGUCUUUAUUUUUUAGCACAUUUUUAAGGAUUUUAUAUUUGUCGAUAUUACCACAUAAAUAAAAAUAUCUUUUAGUGAAAUGAUCAUUUUUACAUUUUCAUGAUAUUAUUAUUAUUUUAUGAUUGUCUUAUAAAAACAUUUUUAAUAUUUUAGUGGAUAUUCUUAAUAUUUCCUAUACUUUUAAUAUAUUCUUAUCCUAUAAUAUUAAUGAUUGUUGCUUAUUUUAUGCUAUUUACAUUGGAUAUGAAAUUGAUCUAAUUUAAAGCAACGAGCAUUUGAGAUAUCAUAAUAUGUAUUUAAUGUGAAUUUUAAAUACUUUUACAAUAUAUUUAGACUUUCUUAAUCUACCAUCACUAUUAUAUAAAAAUAUGAAAUUUUAUUUGAUAGAAACAAAAAGAAAGUGUCUUGACAUAUAAAAAUAAGUAAAAUAAAAAAUAAAUUUAAAGUUAAUAAAUUAUUUUUAUAUAUUUUUAAAUUUAUUUUUAAUUAAACUAUUUGUAAUUAAUUUAAAUUAUAUAUAAUUUUAUUUCAAAAUUUCAAUCAUAAACCAAAUUCCUUAACAAUUUUUUUCCCUUGAUUUAAUAUUGUCCGAACCAAUAUUGAAGGAACAAACCACGUACAACAUGAACCAUAGUCAAACAAGCCACGAAAAGAAAAGUACAACAUGAAGCAGAGUGAAACAAACCACCAAAAGAGAAGUACGACAUGAAGCAUAGUAAGAAAUAUGGAAAUAAGGGAGGAAAGGUACCAAAAACUAGAUUGGAAAUUUGAGAUCUAGAGAAGCACGUGUUCAAACAUUUUUUCCAAAUUCAGGUAAGAUGAUCCAUCUGGACCAGUGGUAGCCGCUUCUGCCGUAUGCUUCCACUCCAUGGUUUUCUUUUUCAUUUCUUUGCCUUUCUCUCCCUCCAUCAACUCCCUCACAAGCUUUGCAACUUCAUCCCUCUUAACAUCACUGUCUAUCUCCAUUCCUACGCCCCACUCAGUGCAGCAGUAACGACAGUUGGUUUGCUGCUCUGCAAAAAAAGGCCAACAAAUCAUAGGCACUCCAGCGCAUAAACCCUCGAUUAUGGAAUUCCAGCCGUUAUGAGUUAAGAAGCCGCCAAUGGCCUGGUGGGUGAGAACUUGCUCUUGAAGACACCAACCUGCUAGUAAACCCCUGUCUUCGGUUUCUGCCACGAAUUCUGGUGGCAGAAUGGCUGACUCACCAGACACGAGAUCUGGCCUAAGUAUCCACAAGAAGCUUUGAUUGCUAUUUGCAAGUCCCCAAGCAAACUCAAUCAGUUGCUGGGGAGUCAUGACUGUGAUGCUUCCAUAAUUAACGUAAACAACAGAGUUGGGUUCUUUGGAAUCCAGCCAUUUGAGACACUCGGGCUCUUCCUUCCACAGAUUUGAUUCAAUCAACUGUAGUUCGCUAUCGUGAAUCUGAUCCAGAAGUAGCUGAAGAGGAGCGAUGGUGUAGAUUGGGGGAUACAUGGGAGCAAUUGCAUCCAAAACCUCAUGCUCUAAAGCGUCAAACGUAUUGAAAAUGAUGGCAGAAGCCUUGCGAGCCCUUUCAAGCUCACCCAUGGCAAAGUCCAGCAUCACAUCAUCUGGAUCGGUAGUCCGAAUGAAGCUCGGGAGAUCCUUCAAACGGAUACCUUUCAUGCCCGGUAUCCAAUCGACAACAGUAUCCAAAUACCCAUUUGUUAGAUAACUCUCAUCUGCAUAUCACAGAAGAAGGAAAAAAUGAAAAAUCAGAGUCGGUAGGAGACUGGGAUUUGAAAAACUUGUAUUCAAAGCCGAACUUGGAAUAAUACCUUUGAGUGGUGUAAAACCCUUGUCGAUGAGACUGCGAUACUGCACAUAGGCCAUGAAGCCACAAGCACUAGCUGUCCAUAAAAGAAGGUCGGGAAUGCCGAGUUCUUGAGCAGCGUCUAAAGUGAAGCUCAUGAUAGCGUCAGAAAAUAUGCAAGUGACGGGAGGACCGUCGUGGUUGAGUUUGGCGAGAAGGCGUCUAAAGGGAGCCAAGCAGUUCUUUUUGGUGGAUACACAGAGGGAAGGAAUGUCUUGGGUUGCGUCGACGUCGGACGGGGGGAGACCAUCGGGAAUGGUUUCGAACUGAAAGGUGGGGAGACCACUGAGGCAGUUGGGGCCCUGGGCAUUGAGUAAGCGUGUGUGGUUGAACUCUGUGUUGACAAAGGUGAUACGAAAACCUCUGCAAUGGAGGAGCUUUGCUAGUUUUAGCAUAGGAUUGAUAUGGCCCUGAGCAGGGUAUGGAAUACAAACUGCAUGAGGCUUCUCCGAACCCAUUUUUGCACUGGGAUUGGGAUGCCCUCCCGAUACACUGAGCUGGAAAUAUUUUGGUAUCAUUCCCGUGCUGCAGUAGCGUCACCCACACUCUUUAUCUUCGAAUCAGAGUCAACAGGAAGGAUUAAUGUAUGCAAUAUCCCUGAUGGAAACAUUACUAUUUUUAGUUGGCUGCAAUUGAUUUUUAAUUUAUUAUUAUUCAUGUUAAAGGAAAAGCCCGCACCGGAGCCUGGUGACUUAUGUUUCAUUUUUCUUGUAACAAUUAAGUGACCGCUAUUCAUGAAAAGUACGAGAAAGAACGUGACAAACUAGGAUCCUGGCGUGAGCCUUUACCAUCUUCUUAAGAGAAUAAUGAACCACCUAUAUAUGCAUCACCAUUUGUGGAAGCUGAUGCUCUGUUUAAAAAUUUUCGACGGCUGCCCUCGUAUCAAUAUAUUGCGCUGGCAUGAGUCCAAAGCAUAUUUAUAUUUCCUAGUUAAAAUAUGAUGAUAAUUAUUUUCAAAACAAAUCUAUUUUCAAAUGCAAAAAAUUAAUGAAGAUUACUAACUUGCCCAUAGAACAACACAGUAUAUCUAUCCCAAUGACGGUAAACAUCUCCGAUCCGUCAGUCAGGAACAAGGCAUCUACCCUUCCACCUACGUUCGUAAUUACACCAUUUCGUUUUGUUUUUGUCUUUUAGUGAAACAUUAAGGUCAAAGAUAGCGUGUAUAUGUAGUUUUGUACUUCACGAGGACUCCUUCCAAGGUCCAUAUACCGAGAAAUCCUACGUCACUUUCCUAAAAACGAGGGGAAAAAUGGAACUCGGAGAACUCCGCAGCUGCCAAACUAAAUCAAAGGACUAAGUUAUGGUCCACGGAUUUAAUACUGAUACGAACGUUAUGAUCAUGCACCCUCAUAUUAUGAUCUUCAUCCAGCUCAUCCCUAAUGGGUCUCCUCCAAAUAUUGGCUUCAAACUUCUGUAACUGUCUUGCAUGGAUGAAUGAAAGCCAUGUUGACGGUAGAGGAAACGCAGUCAAGAAUUGACGAGCAGGAAACUCUUGCCACGUGGAAUGAUAGCAUCAGCGCGGAUUGCCUUGAAUAGUUGUGUGCAUCCUUACUCCUUACGCAUCAUCGUCGAUCGACUAUCUAAUAUUUAUUUUCCCUACAAAUUAAGCGGUUGAUGGGUGACAAUUGAACUACACUGCAGGCCCCGCAUAAGAAUAAAUUGAUGAUAUGGCCCUUCUUUUUUUACAAUAUCUUCUGAGUUCUGGCUUGACAUCGAAGUUGAAACAGAGUAAUAAAUUGAAUGGAUAACUUGUUGAUCACUCCAACAAACAAAAAGAAAAGAAAAGAAAACACAUUACCCCACAAAAUAAUAUAAGAGAAUUACACUACAGGGCGAUGGCCUAAUAAAAAAUAUUCUUAUUGAAAAUAUUAAUUACACAUGAAUAAAUGUCAAUAUAUAUAUAUAUAUAUAUAUAUAUAUAUAUAUAUAUAUAUAUAUAUAUAUAUAUAUAUAUAUAUAUAUAUAUAUUAUAUUUUCAUAUAUGUUGAGGCCUCGCGUCCCUGGCGAUUCACGUAGUUGCUGCGAAAUGGAUGGACGCACGAUUUCAACCAAUAUAGAUUCCUGGUUCAAUCGUUCCUGCAAAAGGCGUCCGGACAGGAUGUCCGAACACACCUUCCGAUGAUUUUGUCAGCCAUGGAAAGAGAGAUAAAUCAGUUGGCCUUUUCUAGGUAUCUCCAGCUUACCUUCCUCUUUGUGUGAAGGUUUUUAUAUAUAGUACCAGAAGCUUUGUCUCCCUCUUUAAUGGUAGAGAGAUAUUUUGGCUUGUCAUGAUGCUUUUAGGUGGUGGCAGGGCCAUCAUCACUCAUAGGGCGGCUGCCAGAGAAUGUGGGAGGCACCGCAGCUUGUCAGAGAUCGUGGGAAGUGACUUGCCGUCACUUCAUUCCUGUCAUCUCAUUCUGCAAGUGGCGGAAUGUGGGUCAUGACAGGCUGUUGUGAUGACGUGCAAGAUUUGCUUACUUCAGUCAAUGAUCCGGACGAACAUAUCCGGAUAGUAUAUGUCGGUCGUCCGGAUGCGAUAUGUCGAUUGUCCGGAUGUUAUGGUUGUGAGUGUUGUGUGCCUCUCCUUGAGGGAGUCCGGAUAGGAGAAGCGCGCCAUGUAUACUCUUGGGGAAAUUCGGAUGAGAUUGAUCCAGAUGAGAAUGUGUGCCACGUGUCAUCAGGAGAUGUGUGCCACGUGUUGGGGGGUCCCUACAAUAUAUAUAUACAAAAAGGAAAAACUUGUGCUAAAUUUACAUGAUAUUUAUACUUAGAUAUAAAAGACUUGUCCUACUAUGCCUAUUAUGAAUAUAUUUAAGUAUUUUCUUUCAAUUUCUUUAUUUAUUUUUUAUAUCACUAAAAAUAUUACAUACUAAUAUGUAUAAAUAUCAAAUAUAAUUUUUUUUUUAAUAUUUUCACAUAUAUACAAGAUAUUUGUACUAAAUGUAUAAGAGAAGAUAUAAGUUAUAAUGGAUUAUGCACGUUUACCUAUUGUAAAUAUAUUUUCGUAUUUUUAUGGAUAUUAAUAAAAAUGUGAAAAUGUUUUAUAUAUUUAAUAUAUAUAAUUGUCUUGUAUAUGUGUAAACAUAUAAAAAUAAUAAUUAUAUUUGUAUAAAGUUGUAUUUUUUACAUGCGUUCUUACUUGAUAGUGAGACUUGGUUUUUAUUUAGGAAGAAUUAUCUUUUGGGGGUAGAUGGGCCCCCAAAUUAACAAAAAGUCUAUAUAACUCUUCAAAUUGAGUUGAAGGAUAUGAAAUAGUAACGGACAAAUAUACCCUUUAAGAACAUAUAUAAAAUAUUUUAUAAAAUUAAGUUAAAUAAUUUUUUUUCAAUAAUUUUUUUUUCAAAGAUACUAAAUUAAAUAAAAGUAGUUUUCAAAAAUAUUAAAUUAAAUAUUUUUUUUCAAAAAUAUUAAAUUAAAUUAAAGUAUUUAAAAAAAUAUUAAAUUAAUUUUUUUUAAAUAUUAAAUUAAAUAAAUUUAUUUUUAAAAAAUAUUAAAUUAAAUAAAAGUAUUAAAUUACAUAAAAGUAUUUUUUUUAAAUAUUAAAUUAAAUAAAAGUAUUUUUUAAAAAUAUUAAUUUUUUUUCUCAAAAUCAACAAAGGGCAUUUUUGGAAAUAUUGAAGGAUGAUAUCCUUCAACUCAAUUUCCCUACUUUCAUUGGGUCUUGGGCUCAAUUUGAAGAGGUACAUGGACCUUUUGUUAAUUUGGGGGCCCAUCUACCCCCAAAACAUAAUUGUCCCUUUUAUUUAUGUAAAAAUUAAUUUUUAAAAUUUUGAUUUAGAGUUGUCACUUUGUAGACCCCCAUUUUGGGAGUCAUUCUUGCAGUCGAUGCUUGACAAGUGUCACCAUCUCGCAUGGCCACGUGUCACUCCCGGAUUAGUCAAUGUGGGAUCAAAAUAGUGGAAUUGAAGAAGCAAUCAGAAUAAGACACCUGUCAAGAGGAUAUUCUAAAAUCUUUAGGCAGUUAGAGAUAUUUUUUUGGAAGGGGGUCCCGCAGACCGUCAAGGGGCACAGAUGAGAGAGAAGGAAAGUGGUUGCAGAAGGAGUGUUGUAGGAAAGGUGGCUGCGACAGAGAUUGUUGAAAAGGCAAAUCCGGAAAAGGGGGGAGGGGACAACAUUGAGAGGGACAUAUGGGAGAAAAAGAGAAGAUCCGAAGAGGAGAAAGGAAGGAAAAGAAAAUCCGAGAAAGGAAAAGAAAAAUUGGGGGGGGGGAGGGGGGGGUGGUUUCGGAAAAAGGAGGAGAGAUCCAGAGGAGAGUUUGAGCUUGGAGGGCAAGCAGGGAGCAAAAUUCAUUGAGAGAACGAAAACUUGAUUCUCUUUGCUUGAGGAACCAGGUAUGUAUACCACCUUCCCCCAUCUCUCUUUAUUCACUGCUUUUCCUUGACAUUAUGCUGUUUGGGGUGGAUACUGAAGGCCACUGGUUUGUUUGUUGAGAGAUAAUCCUGCAUUUGUGUUUGCCAUUGUUGAUCUUAAUUUACUCUGCCCCUAUUGUGAUUAUGAAAUGCCCCGGAAUCAUGCAUGUGGUUGCAUUUGAUAUGGUUUACCCACCUGCUCAGAAGAUUCAUGGAUGAUUCAUGAAAUGGAUUUUCUGAGAUUUUUCUUUAUUUAUUCGUCUUCUUUCAUACUCUGUUUCUCUACUUCCCCUGUUUCUUGAUAUCCAUCCAUGGUAUGCAUCCAUUUUCUCAUCCCUGCUCGAAAGAGAUCCUAGAAAACCUAAAGUAGUUGUCAUGGCAGCAAAGCUCACCUCAUCAGCAUCCCCAUACCCAUUCGUUCAUCUAUCCACCUCUCUCUCUAGGUCGUCAUACCCAUUUCCUCACUCAAGCUUGCAAGAAUCAAGCAUCCUCCACCGCACCUAUCUUCCUCUCAUUCAUUCUCCAUCCCACUCUCUCGCUUACAUGGAGUCUCAUGGGUGCAUGCUAUCCUUCACUCUUUCGCAUACCCAUUAAAACCACUCACCCAAGCCUCCAUAUCCAUACGGCCCACCAAACCCGUUUCCCUCUCUAAUCUUUCACCUACACCCGGAAUCCUCCCCGCCGCCAUUCCAUCCGGGUGUCUCACACCCGGAAUUCCUCUUCGCCGCCAUUCCAUCCGGGUGUCCUACACCCGGAAUCCUCUCCGCCGUCAUUCCAUCCGGGUGUCUCACAUCCGGAAUUCUUUCCCCGAUGACAUUCCACCCGGACAUCUCACAUCCGGAAUCCUCCCUCCGCCAACAUUCCACCCAGACAUAUCACAUCCGGAAUCCUUCCCGGCCAACGUUCUACCUUAUCUGGAUGUCUCACAUCCGGAUCUGAAGGUCAAUUUCUUUCCACCUCGUGACCUUAAGCAUGUCCACCUGUGCAUGGCCGCCUUCCCCAAGUCCAACUAUGUAAAUGUUUUCUCUAAUUCAGGUUGUUUCAAAAUAAUUUCAAAUCAUCAAAAUUUUCUAUCCUUCAUCCUUAGCAUUUUUCUUCAGGUUUCAAAGGUCCACUUUUCAGUAUAACUUUGCCACCAUUUCUUCUUUCCGGUAGGCAAUCUUCACAAUCCCAUGAUUUUAAAAUGUUUUAAAGUAAGCAAAGAAUCAAAUUCUGUAACUCCGAACAAUGGAAUUUACGGAUUUGGUCCAUGCAAAAAUGAACUGGGCUUUGGUGGGGGCCCUACAUAUGUGACUUCACGACUAAUUGAUUGUUUGACUGAUUCAUUUACCAUGUAUGAUUGAUUUAUUCUGUUCCUUGAUAUGCGCGUAAUUAUAUAUAUUCAUUGUUCACUAACCUUGCUUCUUUAUAGCGCUUUAUUGGAUCGCUGCCCAGGUACGCAUCCAUAUCCACUUUGGUAAUUUUAUAUGCAUGUUUUGAUUUUCAUAUGUGCAUGAUAGUUCCGGGUAUUCAUUGAUUUCCUCAUCAAUUGCCAUGUCAGCUUCAUUUUAUUAGUAGAGACCCGUUUUUAGGGACUUAGAGGGGUGCUACGGUCUUUACCGUACCUUCCCGAUAAGUAACUUGACCCCCGAACCCGAUCUGAUUUUUCGUAGACCAACCUUUUUCAAAACAAGGAGUCACACUUAGAGUUUUUAUUUCUUAUUUUGUUUACCCUUUAAAAAUAAAACAAAAAUAAGUGGUUACUCCAAGUCAUUUUUUUUAACCAAUUAAAUCAUUGUUCAAAAUAAAAAUCGAGCUCACCAUUCGAGUGGGAAACGCAUUGAGCCGAAAUACGGGGUCCACACACUUAUUUUUGUUUCAUUUGUAAAAAAAAAAAAAAAAAAAAGAAAGUAUUAAGUGUGACUCUUAAAAACAAAAUAUAGGUUUAUGAAAAAUCAAGUUUCGAUUCGAACAUCAAGUUAUCUAUCAAAAGAGUACUAUGAUAACCAAAUAUUUUGCUAAAAAAAGAAUUAGGUCGUGUAACACUCCUCUAAACACUAAAAAUAGACUUUUACUAAUCAAGUUAAGGUAAAAAUAACGAUUAACUAAUUAAUCAAUAUACACCAAGAAUUGAAAGUCAAAGAAUAAAAACAAACCAUACAUGAAAAUAAAAAAAUAAGUAGGUAAACAAGAUAAGAUUGGGAAAGUACCUUAGCAUGAACGACCAAGCAUUUCAUAGGAAAUAUGGUGAGUGCAUAGUAACAAACACAAAAUAAUCUUAUGUAUCACAAUAGUAAGACGUGAGCGAUUAUCAUCCAAUAAAUAUAAAGCAUUUAGAAUCAAAAAUAAAAAUGGAGAAUAUCUCAUAUAUUAGUCCCACCGAUAUCCAAUUUACUUGGCAUGAAUUUAUUCUAUAAACUUCAUUUUCCUAAUAAACAUGAAGAAAGAAUCAGGGAAAUAUGAGGAAAUUUCAUUAUUUUUUUGAAAUAUAUAAUUUUUUUCAUGUUAUUAAAAAAUCAAGAGAAUCAAGAUAUUAUUGAAAAUAAGAGAAAAUAAUAUUUAGAAUGCAUGCCCAAAAAAAGUGGCAAAUUUUAUUGCCUAAAGAUAUCUAGGAUAAAAUUUAAAAGUGGUGACUAUUUCAGUUGAAAAUAGAUUUGAAAAUUUAAUUUAAAAACUGUAAACUCUCACAAAACGGAGGAGUGUCACCGGAAGAGAAGAGUGGAAGCGCUGAAGGUGGCCAAGCAAGCCGGGCAGAAGUGGGCCCCAGGGUGCAAGGUAUCGGUGAUUGUAGCCUCAGGGAAAAGUGGGACGACAAUUUUAAAAAAUAAUUUCUAAAUUACCGUAAAAAAAUAAUUUAUAAGUGAAAAAUCGUCUCUUUAAGAGACGAUUUUAAAAAAAUAAAAAUAUAAAAUAAAUCAAAAUGAGAAAUCAUCUUUUAAAAAAAUAAUUUCAAUAUAUAAAUAUAUAUAUAUAUAUAUAUGAAAAAUUCUCACUUAAAAGAAAAGAAAAAAAGAAUAAAGUGGGAAAUCCUCUCUUCAAAAUAUGAUUUCCAUACUUUUAAAAGUGAGAACAUCUUCAUGUUUAAAUAUAAUAAGUUUAAAUAUAAAUAAUUUAUUAUUUAAGUAUAUUUUUUCAAUUUCAAUCAUAAAUUGAAAUUUAAUAGUUUUUAAUUAAAUUUAAAAAUAAAAAAAAAUUAUAAUUGAAAUCUUAGUUAUUAAUUGCCGCUAAAAAAUAUACUAUUAUUUCAUUAAAGAUAAAUUUAUUAUAAUACAAAUAAAUUAAUAUCUUAAAAAAUAACAAAUUAAAUAUCUUAAAUUAAUAAAUUAUAUAAUUUUAUAUAUUAUUUAUAUAUUAUAUAAGUUUAUUAUUUUAAUAUUUUUAAUUUAUUAAUAAAUAAAAUAUUCAUUUAUAAUAUUUUUUAUUUAUCAAUUUAUGUUUGUUGAAGUAAUACUAGAUUUUUAAAUUUAAAUAUAAAUAAUUUAUUAUUUAAGUAUAUUUUUAAAUUUUAAUCAUAAAUUUUAAUUUAAUAAUUUUUAAUUAAAUUUUAAAUUAAAAAAAAUAAUUAACUAAAAUCUCAAUUGGCAACUGUAACUUUAAUUUAAAAUGAAAUCGUAGUUGAUAACUACGGCUUUAGUUCAAAAAAUGAAGACGCAGUUGAUAACUACGGUUUUAACUAAAAUAAUAAAAAAAAAUAUUUUUUUAAUAAUAUAAUAUUUACGUGCCACUAAAAAACAAUUUAAGUAUUAGUUAGAUGUUAUAAUUUUUUUUUUUAAAGGGUCAUUUUGACCCAAAACUCUAUUUUUAAAAUCUGGUUUUCAAAACAAUCAUGGAGGAUGAUGAGUUGUUCUCCAAAGACGUUCAAAUAAAUGUAUUUAUAAUUUAGAAAAUGGUAAAAAAAAAAAAACAAAAUGCAAGAAAAAUAAUAAAGAAAAGAAAAGUUUGACGAUGAUAAAAAGUCACCCCUAGGCUCUUAAUGUCAUUAGCUGUAAACAUAGAGUUUUUGAUUUUUCACAGCGAAAGACAGAUCCGCACUCAACCAGAUUAAUUUCAAACGCGCUAUUGAGUAUUGAGCUGGCAUUUGCUUGCUUUUCGCCUUUUCCCUUCCUUCUCGGCACUUUCAUUCAUACCCUCUCCCUCGCUCCUCUCACGCUGUUGGUCACACUCUCCCCACUGCCUAUUUUACUAUAUAUAUGAAACCCCCAAUUCAUCUUCUCCUCACUCCAAACCCCCACCAAAGCCAUCUCUACAGCUUAGCUUCACUGCACUCUCUUAAGUCCUAACUACCAUGGCCUCUUUCGUUCCUACUCAAUGCCUUUUACAACUCCUCUUUGUGGCUUCUCUGCUUCCAUUCAUCUCAGCAGCCAGGAGACUUGCUCAAGACCAGCAACCUCUGCUUCUUCAAUACCACAAUGGCCCUCUUCUUUCCGGAAAAAUCUCCAUUAAUCUCAUCUGGUACGGAAAGUUCAAGCCUUCCCAACGCGCCAUUGUUUCUGAUUUCAUUACCUCCCUCUCUUCCUCCAAAACCACCCCCCACCAACCCUCUGUUGCGGCGUGGUGGAAUACCAUCGACAAAUACUACCUCCUCAUUAAGUCCAAGAAAUCCACCUCCCUCGGUCUCUCCCUAGGCACCCAAAUCCUCGACGAGAACUACUCUUUGGGUAAAUCACUGACCAGUCGAAAUCUCAAACAGUUGGCAGCAAAGGGGCAGCAGAGCAACGCCAUUAACGUAGUCUUGACAUCUUCUGAUGUAGCCGUUGAAGGGUUCUGCUCCAGCAGGUGCGGAACACAUGGGUCUUCUCCCAGCUCCAAGACUGCUAAGGUUAAUGGCAAGAUCUCCAAGUUCGCAUACAUCUGGGUGGGUAACUCCGAGACUCAGUGCACAGGUCAAUGUGCAUGGCCAUUCCACCAGCCCAUUUACGGACCCCAGAGUCCACCCCUGUCCGCACCCAACAACGAUGUGGGUAUGGAAGGUAUAGUUAUGAACCUGGCUAGCCUCUUGGCUGGAACUGUUACGAACCCCUUUGGAAAUGGAUACUACCAAGGUUCCGCAGAGGCUCCCCUGGAGGCUGCAUCGGCCUGCCCUGGGAUUUAUGGGAAGGGCGCGUACCCUGGCUAUGCCGGAAAGCUGUUGGAGGAUCCCACCACAGGUGCUAGCUAUAAUGCCAAUGGUGUGAAUGGGAGGAAGUACCUGCUUCCUGCAUUGCUUGAUCCUUCAACUUCCACCUGUUCUACUCUGGUCUGAUAGACUGAUACUACUAUGCUUCUCUAAAUUCAUUUAGUUGUAUAGCACGGAGACGAUAACCGAUUCUUUGUUUGUAUUUGAUUAAUUACCAUUAUGUAUUCUUUUUCCCGUCUGAAUAAAUGAAAUUCCAAUGUUUUCUUUCAUAUCCAACCAGUUCAGCCUUCCUCUGAUAUUUUUUCUUCACAUCCCAAUCCCAACAAAAGCCGCACUGCGCCCUCCUCUGCUAUUCAAACUCGUAUGUGGUCAAAAUCAUUAAUGAGAUCUACCAUUGGAGAAAGCUUUAUUAUAAUAAGGAAAAUUUUAAGCAAAACCUUUAGGACAUGGAAUGAUCUGCUGCUUUUCUCGUCCUACAUUUUUAAUUUAAGACUUAAAUUUCCAACCUCGUCUACAUGCCAUCAUUAUUUAUUCAGAAGUUGCAAUUGAAGAAACGUUUAUAGCACGUUUUGCAGGAAUAUUAUUAAUAAUUUAAGUAUGUAACAUUCUCAAAAGGCAGUCUAAGAAGAUGUAUACUUCCAACCUUGGAUUUUGUCACAAUUAUUCAUGGCCCAGCCUCCACGUGAAAUUCUAAUAGAUGUUCAAUAAUUCAAACGGAAAUGUGCAAUAGAAUAUGUCAACCCUUCAAUGUGAGGAAGGUUUGGCUAAAAUUUUAGCUUAAAUUAAGAUUUUAGAGAAUAUAACAUCAUAAUUUUUUUUCAUGUUUGUCGUAAGGAAGAAAUAAAAAGGGCCUUAUCACGUUGGUGAUAUAAAUUUUCUAAUUUAUUUCAAUGAUUUCUUUUUUCUCAUGAAAAAAAAAAUAAAAAUCCUCAUAAUGAAUGCAAGUUGGUUUUCGAGAUAAAAAUAUGUUGGCUAGAUGUGUAAUAUAUGAAAAAUUAGAAAAUAAAAUAUUCAACAAAUUUUCUCCUGUUAAUUCAACAUUUCUCAAUAUUUUUAUAAAUUUAAAAUUAUUACUUUUAAAAUAUUAUUUAUAAAUUAAUUUAAAAUAUUUAGUAUUAUUAUUCUAUAACAAAAUGACCUAUUGAUUUUUCUUUAACUUUUUAAUAUCUAAUAAAAAUAAAAUAUUAAAUCAACAAACUAUUUAAUACUUAAUAUUAUUAAAUACUAUUUAAUUCUAAAUUCUAUUUAAAAUUAACUAAAAAGAAAAAGAAAAUAUCAUCUUAAUCAUGUCAUAUCAAUUCUCAAAAUUAGAGUUUGAGGGCUUAAUUUUUUUAACCUGGCAUCAUUUGGAUUGAUACAACUUUUAUAAUAAAUAAAUUUUUGCCAAAAAGAGUACAUAUAAAAAUAAUUUAAUUUCACACAUAAAGAAUAUUGUGGGGUCUAGGUCUCUUUGUAAAAAGUUACUUUAUAAAAGUAUUUUCUUAACUUAAUUUAUAGAAAAAGCUCCUAAAUCAUGAAUCUCUCAUUUUUCAUAUGUUUAAUAAAAAAUUUUUAUAAAAUUUCUUGAAUUGUUUGAAACAUAUGCUAUAUGAUUUCAAUGAUAUUUCAAGUAAAACCUUGAUCAACUAACUUUCUAGAAGACAUAAAAUUUUUAGAAAUCUAGAACUUUAGGAGUAGCAAUAACAAAGAUAUUUAAGUGGCAUACAAGUCAGAUUGUUUUUGAGGAGUUUCAAACUUCAAAUCAUAACCGGUCCAAAUGUUAUACAUUUGAGCAGGAAACAGAAAGACUGUCACUAAUUUGGGGUGUUAGUUUAGCCAAAUUAAGCUAGGGCCAUAAGAUGUUUGGGACCACCUCGAUUUUAAGUCAUUUUGCCAACAACUAUUAAGGCAUUAACAACUAACUAGGCAGGCCGGACCCUUAUCCAUUUCUAUAAAAGACAUCAUCUGUAUGGCUACCGACCUAAAUUGAUUGCAUGCCAAAUGAACAAAUUUCAUACCCAAUAAUCACAUGUAACUUCUAAUUAGCUGAGUGUAAUUGUUUUGUCAUUAAAAUUGCUGUCCCGGUCCCAUCACAUGGUGCGAAUACAUCGUGAUUUGUUAACUUAAUUGGAAAUAUUACAAUCCAAACAACUAAGAUUGUGGGUAUUAAUGGAAAAUCCAAUAUUGCAAUGUUGAUGGUUGCAACUUGCAGCUUGGAUCUUAUACUUAUAGUCUCACACUCGUUUCACACGUAGUCGAUAUGAUCAUGAAUAACGGGGUCCAUCCCCGAGGGCCCCGUGAUAACAACAGAGCACUGAGCACCUAAAAAUUAAAAAUGGUGUGCAUGUAGCCGCCGCAAGGAAAACCAUGCCAGUGUUUGGAAUAAUUUUGGCUUUUGUGUCUUUCAAGCUAGCCGCUUCUCCAGAGAGAUGAAAGCACGGUAUCGAUCGAAUCAAGUGGAUCAGGGCCCGGAGUUUUAAAUGGCGGGUCGGCGCACACUGAUGUUUUGAGCCAUCUAAAACCAUGAGCAUAUUGAUUCCUUGAGUUAUUUAGAAAAUGGGGAUGUGCUUUCAGCGUAUACAAACUCACCUGUGACUAUCUUACUCUAAAGCAAAUAAUCACGGACGAGUGCUAACCCUAGGAUCGUUAUCUUCACAUGCAAGGAUUACCUACUUGUUAUUCCCCCUGUCCCUUGACUUUGGGUUUUAUAUUUUUGGACGAUCAGAAAGAAGGAAACACCUACCCUUGAUAACCACGUCAUCAGGCACAACCUGGCGAAAACUGCCACGCGUUUGACACUAAAAGUGGUCAAUUAAUCAACGCGGCACGAUUUCAAUGUUUCUUCCAUCACUCCCUUUUGGCCAGCGCCACACGCGCACUCCAUGAUGACACCACCUUUCUAUGACUAUAUAAGUAUCGCAACAGUCGACUCUUCCUUCACACUCAUUCCUCACCAAUCCAGCUUUUCACACUCUCUGCAUCACCUUCACCCCACUACUUUACCUUCUCAAUGACUUCUACUUACCAUUUCUCCAUCUUUGUUUCACUUCUCCUACUCUCCUGCCUUCCCAACCUCACCUCCGCCACACCUCGAAAACUCUUCUCUCUUGUUCAAGAGCAACCUCUCAUUCUCAAGUACCACAACGGGCCACUCCUUAAGGGCAACAUCACCCUCAAUCUCGUUUGGUACGGAAACUUCUCCCCCAUCCAACGCUCCAUACUCGUCGACUUCCUCCAGUCUCUCAAUUCCCACACCACCACGCCCCACUCCGUCUCAUCGUGGUGGCAGACCAUCCAGAAGUACAAAGGAGUCUCCUGCACCCUCGCCGUUGGGAAUCAGAUCCUCGAUGAAGACUACUCUCUAGGGAAGUCAUUGCGAAGUUCAGACAUCAUUUCCUUGGCUUCUAGAUCAAACCAAAGGAGCGAAAUAACCGUGGUGUUCACAUCGGCAGACGUGGCGGUAGAAGGGUUCUUCAUGAGCCGGUGCGGGACUCACGGGUCAACUCAGAGUAAGUGGGCCUACGCGUGGGUGGGUAACUCGGAGACUCAGUGUCCGGGUCAGUGCGCAUGGCCAUUGCACCAGCCCAUGUAUGGACCACAGACUCCGCCGCUGGUGUCUCCAAACGGGGACGUGGGAAUUGACGGAAUGGUGAUCAAUUUAGCGACUGUUUUGGCGGGAACGGUGACUAAUCCGUUUGAUAACGGCUACUUUCAAGGAUCGGCUAGCGCGCCGUUAGAGGCGGUGACGGCUUGUACAGGUAUAUUCGGGACAGGAGCUUAUCCAGGAUAUCCCGGCGAAGUUCUGGCGGAUGGAACGACUGGGGCUAGCUAUAAUGCUGUUGGGGUGGAUGGGCGUAAAUACUUAUUGCCGGCGAUGUGGGACCCUCAAACCUCCACCUGCAAGACAUUAGUCUGAAGCCUGAACCUAAUGGAUGAUUUGUGUUCUGUGUGGUACCAGCAAUUGUUUGUUUGGAGGAGCUUUGUACUCCCAGCUUUGAAGUUUGUUCUUUUUUUUCAUCAACCUUAUCAUAUGUAAAUGUUUAUGUAUCAUUAAUUAAAUUUGUUUCAUUAGUCAACCAAUCCUCUGUCUCCUUUGCCUUCUAAAAAGUUUCAAAUUUUUUCUAACAAUUUUGGGUCAUUAGGUUUUGGUGGAAGUUUCAAGUUGACUAACCAGUUAGCUUCUGGAUUUAACUUAACCCCAUAUUAAGCUGAGGAACCAAUCUGGUUUUAGCACAUGUGCAUUGAUUGGUAUUCUUUAUAAUGGAAUCUAACUGCUUUCUUUUUUACCCCAUGAGAAGAUUUCACCAUAUUGUCCUCCAUUCUUGCACACAACCGUAUCAUCUGACUGAAUUUUCUAUGAAAUAAUAAUUAUUUUGGUUUUUUUUUUUUUCAUUUUUCUUUUUUCUAACACAUAUAAAGUAAAAAAAGAAAAAAUUAUUAUUAAAAUAAAUUACAAAAUUUAUUUACAAUAGAAUUAAAUUAAAAAAAUUAAAGAGAUAGGACGAAACCGGAAAUUCUCAUAUUUGUUUCAUUCGAAUCUUUUUAGGGUAGAGGAAAAUAUGUUUAAACGAUGGAAUGGGAUUGGGAUAGAGUAACAAUUCGAAUCCACCUCGCUAUCAUUCCUGGAUGUUUGAGCAAUGGGUCUGGUCGAGCAGCCCGACCUGUGGACACUGGGAUCCUGGAGCACAGCGCUGUCCUUCUAGUUAAUAAGUUGGAAUCAUGGUUCGACUUGGUUUCUGUUCACGUCGUAGCCAUUUGCGAUUUGCUCAGUAACACUGGUGACUUAAUCAUGGGCCGUGGGCUGCUUUCAAGACUUGGGCUUUUCAAUUGGAUUCGGCCCAAUUGGGUUUGGACUCAGGUGAUGAAUGAGCCGGCCCAAUCUGGAAAAUGUUGCAUUUAAAGUUUGGACCAUAUUAUCUGUUGGAAGGAAGUUCUGAUUUCUUAAAAUUUUUAUGUUUUUGAAGGUUUAAGGAGUGAGGACUUGAGUGUGGAUUCAUCCCAGAGCAUAGUUUGAUGGAAUGGCUGUGUACAUUCGCCUGAUUCUUUGUAAUAUUAUGUAAAAAAAAAAAUUGAGAUUAAAGAAAAAGUGAAAAACACAUAUGACCAAGCUGAGGCGCUGAAAAGAAAAAAGAAACAAGGCUUUUUAAGGCAGAAGACGGUGAUCUCCUCUCAGUUUCCAGUUUCCGCCAUCCACAGCCAAAUCUCAUGGAUCCCCAUCAACACCAACCCAUUGGACAAGCAGACGAAACCUCACCCCCUCCCUCCAACACCGCUACCACUUCAUGCCGCUGCUGCGGCGGCCCCACCACAUGCCCACCUCCACCGGCAUGGUCCGACAUCUCUCCGCCACCCCCCUACCGCCCCAUCCGCGCCCCCGCCAUCAACCUUCCUCCUUCCAACUCUCAACAAGCUAUCAUCCUAGCCCCCGUUCCUCAAGCCCAGAAGACCCCCGUUGUCUCUCCGCCCUAUCUUUUCCAAAUCCCCGUCAAGCGAAUCCAGACCAGACGACAUUCGCCAUUUCCAUGACUCCGAUUCCGGGAAGAACUUCUUAGGUUUCGUCGUUUCCCUUAGCGAAUCCAUUCGCUCCCACAAAAUUUCCGACCCUUGCCACCAAUCACCAAUCCUCAAUUCUAUUCUCUCCAUCCUUCAAUCUCUAAUCGACUGGGUCGACGAAAUACCUCCCGUUCAACAAUCUUCCCGUUACGGUAAUCUCUCUUUUAGGGUUUGGCAAAGUCGGUUGUUCGAUAAUAGCGAGCAACUGAUGCUCCAAUUCCUCCCCGAUGAUCUCCGGUCGGCUACCGUCGAACUCGUCCCUUACUUUGCCGAUAGUUUUGGGAAUUCGAGUCGAAUCGAUUAUGGAACCGGUCAUGAGACCAAUUUUGCUGCGUGGCUUUAUUGUUUGGCUAGAUUAGGGUUGCUCAAGGAAGAGGAUUACCAGGCUCUUGUUUCUAGGGUUUUUGUGAAGUACCUUGAAUUGAUGAGGAAAUUGCAAUUCGUCUAUUGCCUUGAACCUGCGGGAUCCCAUGGAGUUUGGGGUCUGGACGACUAUCAUUUUCUGCCAUUUAUAUUUGGGUCGUCGCAGCUGAUCGAUCACAAGUAUAUGAAACCCAAGUCAAUUCAUAAUCAGGAUAUUCUGGACAACUUCUCCAAGGAGUAUAUGUAUAUUUCUUGCAUUGCAUUUGUGAAGCAGGUGAAGAAAGGCCUAUUUGCAGGGCAUUCCCCAUUGUUAGAUGAUAUUAGUGGUGUAGCUAAUUGGAACAAGGUGAAUAGUGGGAUGCUCAAAAUGUAUAAAGCUGAGGUGUUGGAGAAGGUUCCAAUUAUGCAGCAUUUCCUAUUUGGGUGGCUCAUCAAAUGGUAUGAUCACUGUUAAUGAGUAAUUAGCCCUGUAUGUGAUUCAUGCAUUUUUAGUUCAUUAUAAGUCAUCCACACUUUGCAUCAUGUUUAAUUGGGAAUCUUAAAAUUAUUACGAGUUUUUAUGGUGUUUUAUGAGCAUAAUCGUUAUAUUUAUAUCGUCUAUAUCAGUAACCUAUAUGGAUAUUUGGUGCUAAACCUGAUAUUUUUGGUCCCUGGAUAUUCAUCUAUUAUUUCAAUGACAAUGUUGGUUGAGGAACAACUCUAGUGUUGAUACCUUGAUCCAUGGGUUUUGUCAGGCUGAGACUUUCAUUAGCUAUUUGAUCCUCACCACCACUGAUUGCUAUACUGAAAUUUUUUUACCUAUGAUUUCUGUUAUCAUUUUAUUUAAAGCAUAGAACCCUACUUGUUAGCUAUAUGAUGUAGAAGUGAUGCACUGAGUCAAUGUUCAUGAUGAAAUAGAACCAAAGAGAUUGGCAUUAUGUUGGGUUGGUCCAUUUUUUUGGAUUCAUUAAAUCUAUCAAAAAUAAAUAAAAUUUGGAUUCAUUAACCAAGUUACUACAUAUGUUCCUUUGAUAUUUAUUAUUUGAGUAAUGUGUGUACAAACUACAAUAAAUAUCAGCCUUUUCAUAAAAAUUUUGCUUGAGUUUUCCUUAUCUCUGCACUUUUAACAUGUGUUAAUCUUUCAACGGUCUGCUUUAGUCCUCAUUCUAAGCUUGUUAAUGUGCCUUUACUUCAAACAUCUUUUCCCACCUUCUGAGUCAUUUCUUUUAAGUCAUGUAUCUCAUCUUAUAGAAAUUCAAGUGUAAUCUAAUGUCUUGAGCCAUUUUAAUUAUUUUAGUUUGAUUUGAUUUAAAAAAAAACUUUAAUGAUCAAAACUUUCAAAUUAUAAUGCAUUUGGCUAGUGAAUAUUACUUAUAAGCCCAAUGUCUCUAGACAAAUAUUUCUGGGUUUUUAAUACAUCUCAUGAGUUCCAUUUGGUAUUCUAGCCCUUUUAGCUAAGUGGUUGCAUUUCUACAUGGGAGGUCUGAGAAUCUCAGAAAGCUAAAACUAAAACAAAGUGAUUUAGUUAGUUAGUGCUUAUAUUCUGACUACUGGUUGUGUAAUAAGCUAAAACUAAAACAAACUCUGAUUUUGUGCCUGACAGCUUGUGCAGACGCUGGUAUAGUGUUUCCUCCAUUUCCAUCAACAACAAAGUCACCAUACCAUACCGGGCUUAAGGGAGGAAACAACCAUGGAAAACUGCUCUGAAGCCCUAAGAGUUUCAAUAAACUUCUGAACAGCCCGUGAUGCAUGAAUUCUUAACCAAGUCUCCAGCUAACACUGCUUGGAGACUCUAAUACCCAAAGUUGACAGAGAUAAGGGCUAAGAUUGUUUUACAGACAGUGAUAUAACAUGCUCAAGGUGAAUGUAAGAUGAGAUAUUCCUGGAUUUAUUAGGAUUGCCAGAAAGUCGAGGAGACUGAACAUUGAAGUAUGAACUCUAUGUGGAGAUGGUGCAAUUCCAGGGGGUUGUGCCCAGAGAUUCAAUGUGUCUAGGCUUCUUUCCCGGUAUACGGAUCAGCAUGUCAUUGCAACAAGCACAGAUUCCAGAAGACCACUGAGAUGGACUAUCACUGGUGUGACGAUGAACAGAGAGGUCACUGUAAUGAGGAAUAAUCUCUAUAUCCUAAUCUGACUGUCCUAAAGGAAUAUAGGGGGUGGUACAUAACUGAUGAUGCAUCUGAUCGGUCAUUACUGGGCUGUGGCACAUGAUGCCAUUCUGAAGCAGGUGGCAUGCUCUUGUUAUCAUUCGACUGAGGAAAGACUGAUGGCACAGAUUGUCCUUUGGCAACCCUCAAUAGAAGCAUAAGUGCGUUUUCGAGGCUCUCCAACAAGUUCAUCAACAUGAGCAGGAGGGAGGUCUUUUAAAGUGUUUUGGUUGUUUUUCCCAUCAAUAGGAGUGGUUCUAUACAGGGGUGAGGGGAGCAAUGACCCAUCUAAAGGUACGUACCUAAAUGACUUUUUUCUAAGAGGAACCCAAAGCCCCCAUUGGUUGGACUAGUUGUCUUGGGUUGUAUUUAACUAUGAUACUCCUUUGGUUAUUUCCUUCUUUGAUAGACAAGGAUAGCACAAAAUUCGUGAUAAUCAAAUAUGAAAUUGUCUAAUGCGUGAUAAAGUUUAAUUCAAGACCUUGCAAAAUUCAAAUAUGCACUUUCCAUCCACAAGAUUUAGCAAACUGAUGGGGCCUCUACCUUCUCUGUACCCUCCAACCGUACUCUGGCGUUUUGUGCUAUGGCACUAUAGACCUUCCAGGCUUUUAGUGCUUCAGGGAAUCCCAUUAUUCAUCUUCUAACCAUAUUUAAGAAAAUAUUUUGUUUUUUGUUGUGCUUUUUUAAGUGGUAUUUGCUAUCAACUUAGUGAUACGAGUCUUUCUUAUCUUGAGAUGUUUCCUUUCAAGGCAAAAAACCUAAAACAAAAGUUUGAAGAGCAACCCUUUUACAUAUUUUUUGGACAGAACGAAGAGAAGGAAAACAAAGGUCUUUUGAUAACGUAGAGUAAAUGUAUCUUUCUUUAACAAAUUCUCUUAUUUGUAAUUCUUUCUCAAGAAAGAUUUUUUCAGGUGAUAUUUGUUUUUUUAACUUUUUACUGAAAAUAAUUUAUUUUUAAAAUUUAGGUUGUUUGUUUUUCUAUUUUUUCAUGACUUAUUAUAAAUUUUUUACUAAUUAGAAAAAACUAAAAUAUAUAACUUUUUUUGAAUAAAAAAAAAUAAUAUAUUGAGUUUUUUUACUUUUUAAUAUUUAAUAGAAAUAAAAUACUAUAAAAAUAAAUAACCUAAUAUUUAACAUUAUAAACAUUAUAGUUUUAUUUAGAAUUAAGUAAAAAAACAAACAUCACCUUAGUAUCUUUGCUAAGUGAGGAAAAUUGUUUUUUUAGUCCUCUCCCUAUACAAUGGUUUACCUCGGUGCAUUUUUAUUUUUUAUUUUUUUAUAAAAUUCUUUUCAUUUGCCUACAUUAAUUUGGAUCUACUCAACUAUAUUUACAUGUCCUUCUGAUGUUUUUCUAAAUGCUUUUGCAGGAAGUGUAUAUAUCACCAAAAGUUAGGGAGAGAAAACGACGAACUGCGGUGGUGCGACGGGUUAAAUGAGAUUGCAUUUAGGCUGGCGUUCUGCAGCUUAACCCAACUGAAACUUGAUCGCAUAGUGACUAUCAUCAUUAUUGAUCACCGAAAACUUCGGUAUGUAUAGGCCUAUUGACACUGACGCUGAUACAAUAGUCAUAAAUAUUAUUUAUUGUUAUAUGUCUUCGCACACAGAGGACAUAUUUUCUGAUCAACAAGUGGCAAUGGCAUCUAGUUAACAUAAUUUUUGUAACAUAUAUCACAAAUGUGAUUCAUCACUCUUCCCCUUUGGAGAAGUAGUUGUGUGAUAGUGCAGCACCCCAUAAAGAGAACGCAAUGCUAGAGAAAAAAUUGGUACCUGUUUUUAUGAGACAAUGGGGCGGCGAACAUAUAUAAAAAAGAUAUGAACCCAUAGAGAUAUUGAAAAAAAUAAAAACGAUAAAGAUAACGUGGUAUAAUUAGUGUCCAUAUAUUUGGCACAUUUUUAAUGAUUUUAUACUUUUCGAGAUCGCCACAUAAAUAAAAAUAUCUUUUAGUCAAAUGAUCAUUUUUACAUUUUCAUGAUAUUGUUAUUAUUUUAUGAUAUGUCUUCUAAAAGCAUUUUUAAUGAGAAUUUUAAAUAUUUUUACAACAUAUUUAACAUUCUUAAUCUAUCAUUAUUAUUCUAUAAAAAUAUGAAAUUUUAUUUCAUAAUUGAAGUAAGAAAACAAAAACAUGUGUCUUAAGGAAAGUAAAAGAAAAAAAUAAGUAAAAGUAAAAAGUAAAUUUAAAAUUAAUAAACUAUUUCUAUAUAUUUAUUUAUUUAUAAUUAAAUCAUUUAAAUAUAUAUAAAGUUGUCAAAUUAAUUUAAAUUAUGUGUAAUCUUAUUUCCAAAAUUCUACCAUAAACCAAACCCCUGAACAUCUUUUUUUUUCCUUUAUUUAAUAUUAUUGUCUGAAACAAUAUUAAAGAAACAAACCACAACAUGAACCAUAGUAAGAAAUAUGGAAACAAGGCAGGAAAGGUGCAAAAAACUAGAUUGGAAAGUUGAGAUCUAGAGAAGCACUUGUUCAAAUAUUUUCUCCAAAUUCAAGUAAGAUGAUCCAUCUGGACCAGUGGUAGCCACUUCUGCCCUAUGCUUCCACUCCAUGGUUUUCUUUUUCAUUACUUUGCCUUUCUCUCCCACCAUCAACUCUCUCACAAGCUUUGCAACUUCAUCCCUCUUAACAUCACUGUCUAUCUCCAUUCCUACGCCCCACUCAGUGCAGCAGUAACGACAGUUGGUUUGCUGCUCUGCAAAAAAUGGCCAACAAAUCAUAGGCACUCCAGCGCAUAAACCCUCAAUUGUGGAAUUCCAGCCGUUAUGAGUUAAGAAGCCGCCAAUGGCCUGGUGCGUGAGAACUUGCUCUUGAGGACACCAACCUGCUAGUAAACCCCUGUCUUCUGUUUCUGCCACGAAUUCUGGUGGCAGAAUGGCCGACUCACCAGACACGAGAUCUGGCCUAAGAAUCCACAAGAAGCUUUGAUUGCUAUUUGCAAGUCCCCAAGCAAACUCAAUCAGUUGCUGGGGAGUCAUGACUGUGAUGCUUCCAUAAUUAACGUAAACAACAGAGUUGGGUUCUUUGGAAUCCAGCCAUUUGAGACACUCAGGCUCUUCCUUCCACAGAUUUGAUCCAAUCAACUUUAGUUCGCUAUCGUGAAUCUGAUCCGGAAGUAGCUGAAGAGGACCAAUGGUGUAGAUUGGGGGAUACAUGGGAGCAAUUGCAUCCAAAACCUCCUGCUCUAAAGCGUCAAACGUAUUGAAAAUGAUGGCAGAAGCCUUGCGAGCCCUUUCAAGCUCACCCAUGGCAAAGUCCAGCAUGAUAUCAUCUGGAUCGGUAGUCCGAAUGAAGCUCGGGAGAUCCUUCAAACGGAUACCUUUCAUGCCCGGUAUCCAAUCAACAACAGUAUCCAAAUACCCAUUUGUUAGAUAACUCUCAUCUGCAUAUCACAGAAGAAGGAAAAAUGAAAAAUCAGAGUCGGUAGGAGACUGGGAUUUGAAAAACUUGUAUUCAAAGCCGAACUUGGAAUAAUACCUUUGAGUGGUGUAAAACCCUUGUCGAUGAGACUGCGAUACUGCACAUAGGCCAUGAAGCCACAAGCACUAGCUGUCCAUAAAAGAAGGUCGGGAAUGCCGAGUUCUUGAGCCGCGUCUAAAGUGAAGCUCAUGACAGCGUCAGAAAAUAUGCAAGUGACGGGAGGACCUCUGUCGUUGAGUUUGGCGAGAAGGCGUCUAAAGGGAGCCAAACAGUUUUUUUUGGUGGAUGCACAGAGGGAAGGGAUGUCUUGGGUUGCGUCGACAUUGGACGGUGGGAGACCAUCGGGAAUGGUUUCGAACUGAAAGGUGGGGAGACCAUUGAGGGAGUUGGGGCCCUGGGCCUUGAGUAAGCGUGUGUGGUUGAACUCUGUGUUGACAAAGGUGAUACGAAAGCCUCUGAAAUGGAGGAGCUUUGCUACUUUUAGCAUAGGAUUGAUGUGCCCCUGAGCAGGGUAUGGAAUGCAAACUGCAUGAGGCUUCUCCAUGGAACCCAUUUUUGCUUUGGGAUGCCCUCCCGAUACAUCUGCCUC